rnacentral:sRNA from 13 species
UUCGUGGCGAGGCAUCGCGAGCGGCAGCAGCAAAUCAUCAGACCAGCGGCGCAGUUCACCUUUUUGGCAAUUCAAGUGGCUUUGGCUCAUUAAUGUUUGCCGUGUGGGCGUUGGGUUGCGCGCCACUGUAGGUCGGAUUCACAUUGCGAUUCGGAUUCAGAUUGGCUGCCUUUUUGAUACAGUCGGCUAUAUUCGGAUCUAAGCCAUGCCCAAACUUUUUAAUUAGUUUCAAUUGUUGGCGCCCCAACAAUGUAUAAAUGUAUAUUUAUGGAAAAUAUUUGCUUUACUACUUUUUUGCCGCUUUGUUUUGAUUUUUGUUGAUAUGGCUUUAAAAUGCUGCGCUUUCUGUUUGUUUUAAGCAUUUAUGUGACGCAUGCGCCGUGUGGCAAUGACUUUACAAAAUCAUAUACAUAUAUCCACCGGAGCAUUUGACCAACAUUUCUCAGAUAGAUGACGUCCGCAGCUGUAUCUGUUUCUAUAUCUAUAUCGGCGUGGUGGCAUAAUACGAAUAAUAUUUAUUUUUAUUGUUAUUAUUGGUUAUUGUUGAUUUAUUUGUUUGAACAAUAUUUUCACACAAAUUAAAAUACCCGACAACCAUCGGACAUCGGACGAUGGACAUCCAUAUCAAUGUCGUUUAAACGGUUUUCGUUGUUUUAUUUGCUUUGUAUUUUUUGGCUUAACCCAAUUAUCGGGGCUCAUUAGUGAUUAUUUAACCGUUUGCAACAGCAGCAACAGAUGAUCGCAAAGUUCUAAUAUGCAGCGCAAACAAUUCGAGAUCUUGCAGUGUUUCAUGAAGUUUACUUAACGAUUCUGCUUCGGAUAAUUAAAUGGAUAUACUGUAUUGAGAAUCUUGGGAGUGUAUGCAAAUUAAAGAAGGGGUUUUCUGUCAAUUUAAAAACAUAUAUAUUUUGUUUAUGUCACUCAAUACUAAAAAAAAAUGCAGAUUAUCCGGUUUACGCUGGCAUUUAAAUCUUGUUUCGGUUUUUUUCAACUAAUUUGCAUUAACUUUUCCAUGAAAUUCAUUAGAAAAGUGUUAGCUUGCAUUAUUGAACAGUUUUAAUGCGUUUUGUUUUCGUAGAUAUACUCUUGUUUUUUACUCUUGAUUUUGCUCUACAUAGACCAAACAGCAAAUUGUUUAAACAGCUAAGAUUAGAUAGAAAGUUUUAUUUUAGAUUUCAAUAUUCAAUUUAGAAUUGCCGCUUUUUAUGGAGCAUUUUGAGUGUGGGGUGUAUCUGCCAGGUAUUUUGCCAUGGCUCUGUGAAUCGGUAUGCGUAUCCGUAUCUGUAUCUGCGGCUGCGUGUGUAUCUUGUUCUUUGUACUGCGUGUGCCGUAAUGAGCGUAACCAUAAAAGCGUCUUUUGUUUUACGACCGCAUUGCGCGCGUGUUUACCAUAGAAAACAAUGCCAAUUUUAUGGCUGCCCCGGCCACGCAGACAAUGGCCCAAAGAACCGCAUCCCGACAGUCCAGCAUCCAGCGAGUAUGUAGGGUAUAUAGUUCCUUAUGUACCUGGGGCCAAAGGUGACGGCGAAACUAGAGCAAAUGGGUCGAAAGGGUGCUGGCGAGCGGGACGCUGCAUUAAUUAGAACGCUGCGGAUAUAUGUAUGGGUUUCAGGAUCGAAAUUACUUUCUUCGGGGCCAUAAAGCGGCUCUUAUCUAAAUUAGGAUGUUGCUUGUUUGCGGCUGUGUCUGCACAACAUCGCCGUUUUCACUAUUUGCGUAGGUGUUUCAUUUCCGUUUCACAAUUUAUCUGGCGAGUGUGUUUGCCGGCACACUCAGCCGCGCAGCGCACCUUUAGCCGCCUCAAGAUUUUCCUCUUUCCCUACUUUCACAUGUGAUUUUCCCUCGCGGCCUUAUCAGUUUUUGGCGCGUCAGCCGUCGUCAUCGUGAUUCACAUUUUUCCCUCCCUGCCCGCCGCUGUUUGCACUCGAAACAGUGACGGAAACCGAAAACUGCACUUUUCCAAGGGCCCCAGUACUCGGGGUUCGAAUCGGGCGAUGCAGUUUGGGAAUCGAGGGAAUUUGGCGCAUUUUGGGGUGCGUGCCUUAUCGCUGGGGAGCCCAUGGGGCUACGACUCUAGAUAUCGCAUAAAUCAGAGCCUAGUCGCGCUUUUGCUUGAUUAUUUCCAUUUUAUCUAUUUGGCUGCGGGUGGCUAUAAAGUUUCUGGUUUUUAUCUUUGUGCAAACACGGGAAAGCAGUGCUAUUAAGGCCCUGGCGACCUUAUUUCCACCGGCCCCCAAGAAAACAGCGAAUUCUAUUCUUUUAAUUAAGAAUCCGCAGAAGAGGUGAACCCCUCACAUGCAAUCCAAACAGCGGAAUUCCAUUUUAAUUUGUGGGGUAAAUAGAAAAUAUACGCCAUAUUUCAAAUUAUGUAAGCAUUUUUUCUAAACUAAAAUAGUAGCUAAUAAGUGCCACUGUUUGUCUUUAAUUAAUUUUACUAAGGCAUUCCCAAUUAUUUAUUUCUAAAUUCAAGUGAUCUUAUGUAACAUUUAACAUAAGCACACAUUGUAGUUAAAAUAGGUACCACUUUGACCAAUUGUUCCUAAUUUGUUUAACUUAAUUUCACAGCAGAUUUUUAAUCCAUGUUUAUCCGAUCUUAAGUAAUUUUCCAAACAAAUUAUAUUUUGGCUGGAAUCGCUCCAAUCGAUUUAGUUGAUUAGAACCCCGAGAGCCGGUUUUCUCCCACCAAACCAGUUUAUGCAACCCCAAACUUUAGCUGGGAUUUCGAGAGUGACCACCACCACCGCCCAUAUUGAUCAUGCGAAAGAAUGUUUUGUUCAGCUCGCGUCCGAAGAUACAGAUUUCUUCUAUCCACUCCUCUCAAAAUACCCAUGCAACUUAGCACCAGGCUGCUAAUUACAUAUUCGUUGCCUGAAAAAUUAACUUUCCAGCGGCGAACAUUGUAGCAUGGCAGUGGCGACAACGAGACUGCUGCCAGUUUUAUAAAGUCCCCCCUCAAAAAAACUGUGUGUUUUUUAUCUACCUAUCUAACUAUCUAACAAUAUGUUAUGAACUGAGCCUGGGCCCAGAAGCCGCCCAUUUCAAUGACGAGCGUUGCGCUGCGGCAGCCGAAAAGCUGUCAAAUUGUCGAAAAAAUUAUUGUUAUCGUGCUGCGCGUUAUUGAGUGGCCGUGUUCACACGCAGCUCCAGCUCAAGAUACAGAUACGAAGACAGAUACAGAUACAGAUACAGCUACAAAGAUACAUUUGUAUCUACACAUGUCCGUACAAACAAUUCAAUUAAUUGUUGUAGAGCGGAAUAUGUCACAUCGGAGGGAUAUGGAUGGCUAGCUUUGGACUGGGCAUAUAGUUCUUUUUUGAGGGGCUGUAAGCCCAAACUCUUCGGUAGUUUAUUGAUUUACAAGCUGGGGCCCCCGUAUCACAGAUAGAUGCAGGUUUAUGGGUGGCGUCCACUUGGGGUUCCAGUAGUACAACCAUAACCACAGCUAUCACUACAGCUGGAACUGGAACUGGAACCGACUUAUCACAGUGGCGUUGUGAUUUUUUGAGUGUCGAAACGCCAAAGCAAAUAUGAUUGGAGUUUUAUUUACUCUGGCCCGUCCGAUUGGGUCUUAAUUACUUCCGAAAACAAUGACAACCGAUGACCAGUGGCGAUACGAGCCCGUCGCCGAGCAUUAAUCAAUUUACAACGAGAUUUAAGCAAUGGCAUCGGUAAAUAAUAAAAUAAAUACAAUUUGAAUACCGGUUUGCCAUUUUCUGGCUAUCAUUCAUAAACUUUUGUGCGGCCUGACAUGAAAAUUAGCUCUUCAGCCAAGGCAGACAGCGCAGCGAUCUCCGAGAUCUCGUAGAUCGGAGAUCGCAGAUCGGAGUCGUCCAAAGCUGGAACUCCGAUCGCUGAAGAGCUCCAGACUCCGGAGUUCGAGUUGGCGAUGGAGAUGGAGACCUGAAGAGCAUGGCUGUUGAUCACGGUGAUGACUGCGUAAAAACGAAAAGUAAAAACACCAAACUGGCACACAGCUUCGGAUGCUUGAGAUGUGUUGCCCGUUUGUGUUAAUCCCAUCAAGACCCAGCACAUUAUGAAGUAGCAACACCAGCAACAAUAGCACCAGCACCACCACCACCACCAACAUGGAAACAGCACAAACUGGAGCUGCACUGAAAGAAAUGUAGUUCAUUAGAACCACUUAAUACUAAUACUCAAUGUAUAUAUAUACAGUAUUUUACCCAUUAACUUACAGCCAAGUAAGACUCUCAUAUUUUAAAGAUAAGCUGCAUAUGUAUUAUGAAAAUAUUAC